GCGAUGGCAAAGGGCUUCUCCACCUCAAUCUUGCCACAGUCUGCGAUGAUCACGUCCUUCAGGGGCUUGUCCCGGCUGUCUGUCUUGGUGUUUUCCACCUUCCGAACCACGUCCUAGGAAGGAAAGGAGGGGCGCGAUCUGAGGCCGCUUCUCAACAGCACACAAACCUUAAGACACCAGAACUC